rnacentral:rRNA from 1 species
GACGUAGGGCGCGAGCGUUGUCCGGAUUUAUUGGGCGUAAAGAGCUCGUAGGCGGCUUGUUGCGUCAGCUGUGAAAACCCGCAGCUCAACUGUGGGCUUGCAGCUGAUACGGGCAGGCUUGAGUUCGGUAGGGGAGACUGGAAUUCCUGGUGUAGCGGUGAAAUGACGUAGAUAUCGAGAGGAACACCUGCGGCGAAGGCGGGUAGCUGGGCCGACACUGACGCUGAGGCGCGAAAGCCAGGGGAGCGAACGGG